UCAAGUUCAAUACACGGAUUUCCUCAUUUAUCAUACAAUUCAAGAGCUUAAGAUGUUUCGACCGAUUAAAAAAAAAUGAAAAAAAAGCCGUAAGAUCUUUGACCACUCAGCUUUACGCCUUUCGUGCCUGAAGACGUAACUCUCUUGCAAUAGCAUUGUCUUGAGGUGCAAAUUUGAUUGCCUUUAGAAAGUCUUCCCGCGCAGCAUCUGUCUAGGCCCCUGUUUGGUUUCGGAGAAAAUCACAAGCUCAAAUUUACUCGCACAUUUUCUCAAUUUUUGUGUUGGCAUUGAUAGUUUGCGGUGAAGGAGGUGAUCGAGAAGGUUCUGGCUGGGCUGAUACGGCCUCAUUUAGUUAUAGCUAAAUAUUGGAAGUGGGUUUGGAUUGUAUGACAUUUCCAAAUUUGUUUGUAUUCUUGCUCAUAUAAACCCCUUAAUCUUAAUUAGUAUAUCUGAGCACGAACCUAUUCGGUGAUCAAUCUGAAGAGGAAGAGGAAUAGGGCGAUUCCGAGCAUGAGUCCAAUCCACGGCCCAAUUCUUACUUUGAGGGCUCCGACUGCAGCACACAUCAGCAGCGAUAGGGAGGAGAAUUGGCACCAGUUGAUGCAGACCUAUUCGGUAAUCAAUGUGAAGAGGAAGAGGAAGAGGUGAAUUCCGACGACGAGUCCAAUCCCCAGCCCAAAUCUUAUGACCCUCUAAUUUCAAGUUUCCUUUCUAUUCUGAUUUCAAAAGCAUGUUUGAGAAUGAUCAGGGUUUCAAUUUUUUCUUUAAUCUUAGCUGAAGGAAGAUAUAGGUUGUGCUUUUGUUAAUGGCGGUGGAUGAUUUGGAUGAAAGUAUGUAUCUUGGGGAUUUUUUUGCUUGCAGUUGUUUAGGCCUGGACUGAAGAAGUUUUGUGGAAUGAGAUUCUUAUGAGUAGUCAAUUUUAGUGGGAUGUUGUUUCAAUCUGGAUAAUGAAUGAUGUCGUUUUCCUAUUCGGUCUGUCCUUUGAUGUUGUAGCAGAUCUGGAAUUUUGUGAAUUAAGAAUGAAGUGCCACAAUUGAAGACGAAUAAAAACAAAUUGCACAUCAUCUGAUUAGAAAUAUAGAAUUGGUUUUAAAUUAUUUUCUUGACUGUUUGGUUCUGAUGUGCAUUACCGAUAAAUCAAGAAUUUGCAAGAUAUUUUUUAUUGUUUUCUGUCUUAACUCUGCAUUUACUCCUUUUAACGGUGGGUGUUGUCAUUUUCUCUCCUUUUUCAUAUCUGUGUUGCCAUUGACUGGGGAUGCGGGUGAUCCUGCUACCCUGUACGCCUCAGUACAGGGCUAUAACAAGAUUAUCUAUUGUGCUACUGCAUGCUCUACCAUCAGCGGAGACCUCUACAGGGUUGAUCAAAGAGGGGUAUACAAUCUUACCAAAGCAUUUCAGGCCUGCGGGAGCGGCGAGAGACCUUUCCACCAUUGCAAAACUGGUGGGUGCAUUCCAGCAAAUCGUAUUCCUCUUUUCUCUUUUGAUCCACUUGCUCGGGAGGGCAUAUUCCGGUUACGGCUAGGAAGUUUGCCCAUUCGACUGCAAAAAGAGGGAGAAGAAGCUUCGUAGUGGCAUUCCUCCGACGAGCUACCGAACUCCUAACCAAAUAAUAAAGCCGAUCUUGAGAAGGCUAGGUUUGGAACACUCUAGGAACUGAAUCGCUAGAAAGAUCUCUUCUUUCGUUUAAACCUAGUGGGCCCUAAACCUAAGCUUUGAUCGCUGCCCUCCCCCCUUAUUGUGGAUGAUGCUAUCUGGGCUGUUGAAGGUGCCACAUUGAAAGCUGAGAUGAGUGGAAAGAAGCUAAUGCACUCACGGAACAACUUAAGCUCAAGCUUCAACUUCAGACAUAUCAAGUGGGGCUUUGCGAGGAUGAGGAGGAUAAUGAAGUGGUUAAGCUGCCCCUACUUAUUUAGUAACAAAGGCAGCUGCCCCUACUUAUUUAGUAACAGAGGCAUAAACAAAGGCAGCUGCCCCUACUUAUUUAGUAACAGAGGAUGAGGAGGAUAAUAAAGUGGUUAAGCUGGAUACGGUGCAUAUGAGUAUGAGUCAGAAUUUUAAGAAUAAAGUAAAACCGUCGCUGUAACACCGACGGAUAUGGUGGAUUCAGCAGAAGAUGGUCGGUGGACUGCCAGAGAAUCCAGAGAAGUGGCACCGGGUGAUGCAGAACCUUUUUGGUGAUCAAUCUGAAAAGCAAGAGGAAAAGGUCGAUUCCGAGCACGAGUCCAAUCCCCAUCCCAAUUCUGACUAUAAGAAGAAAAUGGCGCAAUUACGAGCAGGAAGGAGUAGCAAGAGCAAACUUAUAAUUGUAAAGUUCAAGACUCCGGAGUAAGUGGAUGGAUGGGAAGUUCGUCAGGGGGCUUACUUUCAGGAUGUGGUUGCUUCUAAGUAUGAUGGAGGAAUGGAUGCCAAGUUCGAAUUCACUUUCACCGGAGAUGCUGUUUUCUCUGGAUAUGUUUUCGCCAGACGAGGGUACUAAGCUAAAAGCAGCUUCCCAAAAACAAAUUCAUGAUGCCAAAGAACUGCAUGGAAGAUUUCUAUGUGAAUGUCAAGGUCCGUACUUUUCCCUUUUUGGUUCUUGGCAAUACAAGCAUCUUCAGCUUUUUAAAAAUAAACCUAUCACAUAUUAUAAGUAUGAACUGGUGUGGGUUAAUAAUGGGUAGAUGAAUAAAAGGAAGGAAGAAAAAUAUUAGAAAACAUUCGGUAUGUUUGAAGAAUUUGUUUUUACUUAGGGAGACCAUUUGAUUGCUAAGGAAAUCGAGGAAAAGAAAACAAAGAAACUAACUAGGAGUUGUCUGAGUUGUUUAUAGAUACGGGACAUAGAAAAAACAACAAAUAUUUUUGUUUUUGUAAUGGCUGUCAUGAAUUUCCUUUUGACUAAACAAAACAUAAUUAGUUUAUUUGCUUUACUGAUUAGUUUUUUGUGAUUAGUUUCGGGUUUAGGAGCAGAUUUUUGUGUCCCGACCCAUAUCCAAAGUUGAUUUUGGACUUUCUUCGAUCUUAGAAUAUUUGGUUACUUUAGUGCAUUGAGAAUUAAUAGACGUAAUUUUUUUUAUCAUUGUUUGUGUAUAAUUAUGCAACUUGUAUGUUAUAACGUGACAAAGGUGAUUUUGCUUUCAAUACAUCAACAAAUAUUAAAAAGAAAUAUUUAAAGAGGGCUGGAACCCAGUCGAAGCUGGGGGGCUAGGCCCUCACGCCCAUAUUAUAUUAUUUAAAGAAAAAACAUACAAUGAGGGGACAUAGUACUUAAAACCCCGACAUUCAAAAGUAAAAUCAUAUACAACCACUUCAAGCAAUCAAAAUGGCCCUUACAUAUUGAAUCCAAAAGGUUGACGCCCCAUUCACUGCAUAUAAGAUUAUAUAAUUGAAAAGAAGGAAAUUAAAGAGAAAUUAAAAAAAAAAAAAA